AGGUCAUACAUUUGCUGCUGAAGCCUUCCUGUGGGCUGGGGAGUUCGAGCUGAGGCCAUGAAGUUUGCAUAUCCUUCCUGAGAACUGUUCAGAGCACAGUGCAGUAUGGGCAAAUGGUCAAGUCCCGACGGCCCACCCCUGAACACACCCAUCUUUGGACACACCCUGAAGGCUUAUGCCCAGGGCUCCUGUGAACAACUAAGGAACUGCCAAAUCUGUUCCAAGAUGCUGAACCGUUUCACCUUCCCACCAGCGUUGCCUAAGAACACAUUCAGGAGCUGGAGAGAUGACUGGGUAGUUGAAGAGCACUGACUGCUCUUCCAGAGGUCCUGAGUUCAAAUCCCAGCAACCACAUGGUGGCUCACAACCAUCUGUAAUGGGAUCCGAAGCCCUCUUCUUGUGUGUCUGAAAAUGGCUACAGUGUACUCAUAAAUAGAAUAAAUAAUAAACCUUUAAAAAAAAAAUUUAAAAAACAUCAACAAAGGAA
rnacentral:lncRNA from 1 species